CUGACGCAGCAACGCCGCGUGAGCGAUGAAGGUCUUCGGAUCGUAAAGCUCUGUUGAGUGGGAAGAAACGUCUCGGGGUUAAUAUCUCCGAGGCCUGACGGUACCACUCGAGGAAGCUCCGGCCAACUACGUGCCAGCAGCCGCGGUAAUACGUAUGGAGCGAGCGUUGUUCGGAAUCACUGGGCGUAAAGGGAGUGCAGGCGGAAAGGUAAGUCAGAAGUGUAAUCUACGGGCUUAACCCGUAUCUCGCUUUUGAUACUGCUUUUCUUGAGUAGUGGAGAGGGAAACGGAAUUCCAGGUGUAGCGGUGGAAUGCGUAGAUAUCUGGAAGAACACCAGUAGCGAAGGCGGUUUCCUGGCCACAUACUGACGCUGAGGCUCGAAAGCAUGGGGAGCAAACAGGAUUAGAUACCCUGGUAGUCCACGCCGUAAACGAUGGGCACUAGAUAUCGGGGAAUUCGAUUUCUUCGGUGUCGCAGUUAACGCGAUAAGUGCCCCGCCUGGGGAGUACGCCCGCAAGGGUGAAACUCAAAGGAAUUGACGGGGGCCCGCACAAGCGGUGGAGCAUG
rnacentral:rRNA from 1 species